GACGAACGCUGGCGGUGUGCCUAACACAUGCAAGUCGAACGGUAAGGCCCUUUCGGGGGUACACGAGUGGCGAACGGGUGAGUAACACGUGAGUAACCUGCCCUCAUCUCUGGGAUAACAGUCGGAAACGGUUGCUAAUACUGGAUAUGAGCUUGCAAGGCAUCUUGUGGGUUGGAAAGAUUUUUUUUGGUUGGGGAUGGACUCGCGGCCUAUCAGCUUGUUGGUGAGGUAGUGGCUCACCAAGGCUUCGACGGGUAGCCGGCCUGAGAGGGCGACCGGCCACAUUGGGACUGAGAUACGGCCCAAACUCCUACGGGAGGCAGCAGUGGGGAAUAUUGCACAAUGGACGGAAGUCUGAUGCAGCAACGCCGCGUGCGGGAUGACGGCCUUCGGGUUGUAAACCGCUUUCAAUUGUGACGAAGCUUUUUUGUGACGGUAGCAGUAGAAGAAGCACCGGCUAACUACGUG
rnacentral:rRNA from 1 species